AUUGAACGCUGGCGGCAGGCCUAACACAUGCAAGUCGAGCGGAUGCAGGGAGCUUCCUCCUGGAUUCCUCGGCGGUCGGGUGAGUGAUGCCUAUGAAUCUGCCUCUUCGUGGUGGAUGACGUCCGGUACCGGGCGCUAUUACCACUUCCGUCCUGAGUCAGAAAGUGAGGGAUCUUCGGAUCUCACGCUCUCACCUUCGCCUAUGUCGGAUUAGCUAGUUGGUGGGGUAAGGGCCUACCAAGGCGACGAUCCGUAACUGGUCUGAGAGGAUGAUCAGUCACACUGGAACUGAGACACGGUCCAGACUCCUACGGGAGGCAGCAGUGGGGAAUAUUGGACAAUGGGCGAAAGCCUGAUGCAGCCAUGCCGCGUGUGUGAAGAAGGUCUUCGGAUUGUAAAGCACUUUAAGUGGGGAGGAAGGGAAGAAAGUUAAUACCUUGCUGUAUUGACGUUACCAACAGAAGAAGCACCGGCUAACUUCGUG
rnacentral:rRNA from 1 species